rnacentral:rRNA from 1 species
UACGUAGGGUGCGAGCGUUGUCCGGAUUUAUUGGGCGUAAAGAGCUCGUAGGCGGCUUGUCGCGUCGACUGUGAAAACCCGUGGCUCAACCAUGUGGUCUGCAGUCGAUACGGGCAGGCUAGAAUUCGGUAGGGGAGACUGGAAUUCCUGGUGUAGCGGUGAAAUGCGCAGAUAUCAGGAAGAACACCCGUGGCGAAGGCGGCUCUCUGGGACGGUACUGACGCUGAGACGCGAAAGCGUGGGGAGCGAACAGG